AAUAGAUACCCCGGUAGUCCACGCCGUAAACGAUGAGAACUAGGUGUCGUGGGUGUUGACCCCCGCGGUGCCGUAGCUAACGCAUUAAGUAUCCCGCCUGGGGAGUACGGCCGCAAGGCUAAAACUCAAAGGAAUUGACGGGGGCCCGCACGAAGCAGCGGAGCAUGUGGUUUAAUUGGACGCAACGCCAAGAACCUUACCUGGGCUUGACAUGUUCCUGACCCCCCUGGAAACAGGGGUUCCCUUCGGGGGCAGGAUCACAGGUGGUGCAUGGCUGUCGUCAGCCCGUGUCGUGAGAUGUUGGGUUAAGUCCCGCAACGAGCGCAACCCUCGCCCUUAGUUGCCAUCAUUCAGUUGGGCACUCUAAGGGGACUGCCGGUGGUAAGCCGCGAGGAAGGUGGGGAUGACGUCAAGUCCUCAUGGCCCUUACAGGGUUGGGCUACACACGUGCUACAAUGGCGGUGACAAUGGGCAGCGAACCCGCGAGGGGGAGCUAAUCCCAAAAAGCCGUCUCAGUUCAGAUUGCACUCUGCAACUCGAGUGCA
rnacentral:rRNA from 1 species